AUCGAACGCUGGCGGCAGGCCUAACACAUGCAAGUCGAGCGGAUGAAGGGUGCUUGCUCCUGGAUUCAGCGGCGGACGGGUGAGUAAUGCCUAGGAAUCUGCCUGGUUGUGGUGGAUAACGUCUGGAAAAGGGCGCUAAUACCGCAUACGUCCUGUGGGAGAAAGUGGGGGGUGUUCGGACCACACGCUAUCAGAUGAGAGUAGGUCGGAUUAGAUAGUUGGUGGGGUGAAGGCCUACCAAGGCGAGGAUCCGUAACUGGUCUGUGAGGAUGAUCAGUCACACUGGAACUGAGACACGGUCCAGACUCCUACGGGAGGCAGCAGUGGGGAAUAUUGGACAAUGGGGGAAAUCCUGCACCAGCCAUGCCGCGUGUGUGGAGAAGGUCUGCGGAUGGUAAAGCACUUUAAGUUGGGAGGAAGGUCAGUAAGUUAAUACCUUGCUGUUGUGACGUUACUAGCAGAAGAAGCACCGGCUAACUUCGUG
rnacentral:rRNA from 1 species